GACGAACGCUGGCGGCGUGCUUAACACAUGCAAGUCGAACGGAAAGGCCCUGCUUUUGUGGGGUGCUCGAGUGGCGAACGGGUGAGUAACACGUGAGUAACCUGCCCUUGACUUUGGGAUAACUUCAGGAAACUGGGGCUAAUACCGGAUAGGAGCUCCUGCUGCAUGGUGGGGGUUGGAAAGUUUCGGCGGUUGGGGAUGGACUCGCGGCUUAUCAGCUUGUUGGUGGGGUAGUGGCUUACCAAGGCUUUGACGGGUAGCCGGCCUGAGAGGGUGACCGGCCACAUGGGGAGUGAGAUACGGCCGAGACUCCUAGGAGGGGCAGCAGUGGAGAAUAGUGCACAAGGGGCGGAAGCCUGAUGCAGCAGCGCCGCGUGCGAGAUGACGGCCUUCGGUGUGUAAACCGCUUUCGCCUGAGACGAAGCGUGAGUGACGGGAAUGGGAAAAAAAGCACCGGCUAACUGCG
rnacentral:rRNA from 1 species